rnacentral:rRNA from 1 species
GAUGAACGCUGGCGGCGUGCUUAACACAUGCAAGUCGAACGAUGAAGCCCAGCUUGCUGGGUGGAUUAGUGGCGAACGGGUGAGUAACACGUGAGUAACCUGCCCUUAACUCUGGGAUAAGCCUGGGAAACUGGGUCUAAUACCGGAUAGGAGCGUCCACCGCAUGGUGGGUGUUGGAAAGAUUUAUCGGUUUUGGAUGGACUCGCGGCCUAUCAGCUUGUUGGUGAGGUAAUGGCUCACCAAGGCGACGACGGGUAGCCGGCCUGAGAGGGUGACCGGCCACACUGGGACUGAGACACGGCCCAGACUCCUACGGGAGGCAGCAGUGGGGAAUAUUGCACAAUGGGCGAAAGCCUGAUGCAGCGACGCCGCGUGAGGGAUGACGGCCUUCGGGUUGUAAACCUCUUUCAGUAGGGAAGAAGCGAAAGUGACGGUACCUGCAGAAGAAGCACCGGCAA